rnacentral:rRNA from 1 species
UCCAGACUCCUACGGGAGGCAGCAGUGAGGAAUAUUGGUCAAUGGGCGCGAGCCUGAACCAGCCAAGUAGCGUGAAGGAUGACUGCCCUACGGGUUGUAAACUUCUUUUAUAAAGGAAUAAAGUGAGGCACGUGUGCCUUUUUGUAUGUACUUUAUGAAUAAGGAUCGGCUAACUCCGUGCCAGCAGCCGCGGUAAUACGGAGGAUGCGAGCGUUAUCCGGAUUUAUUGGGUUUAAAGGGUGCGUAGGCGGAAUGCCAAGUCAGCGGUAAAAUCGCGGGGCUCAACCUCGCUCCGCCGUUGAAACUGGCGUUCUUGAGUGGGCGAGAAGUAUGCGGAAUGCGUGGUGUAGCGGUGAAAUGCAUAGAUAUCACGCAGAACUCCGAUUGCGAAGGCAGCAUACCGGCGCCCAACUGACGCUGAAGCACGAAAGCGUGGGUAUCGAACAGGAUUAGAUACCCUAGUA